rnacentral:lncRNA from 1 species
AUUUGGGACCUUCUCAGGCUUCACCCUAUGCACCUCUUUUUGCUGAUCCUGAUUUGUAUUAUUUGUGCUAUAAUAACACUGUAAUUAUAUGUAUAGGACUUUCCUGAAUUCUCUGUCACUGUCAGUCUAUUAAAUGAUUGAGCAUGAAGAGAGAGUAGGAACCCCUGAGUAUUUAGCUUGUUGGUCAGAAGUGCUGGUGGCCUUGGAACUCAUAAGCUUGUGGCUAGUUUCUGAGCUAACCCAGGCACAACAGGAAUACAACCUUUUACUACAGAUGUGGGAUUGUUCAUGUCAUCUACUAAUGCAAGAUGGAUCUGAGAACGCUGUCUGGGCUUGGUACCAAGAGCUGGUAUUUCACAGCAGCGACCGCCUCACAGACGAGCUGUGGGAAGCAGGAGGGAGACUCUCUCUUAGGGUGCCACUACUAUGGAGACACAGCUGGGCUGAACAAGAUUUGCUUCAAACGACAACAAGAGAGACAGAAAGUAUCUGGUUCAACCGCUGCCCGAGCAGGCAGGCACCAGAAGAGCUAGCAGCCAAUCCGGCCAUGCUCGAAGCCAGCUCUGCAGCUCAGCCAAUCAGUGACAUCAUUGCUUUCUUUAGCUUGCCCAUGGUGAUGUGAAGAUGAGAAGAAAUAGCAAGGCCCAACCAGUUCUUCAUCUGGAGACAGUUCAACGUUCUGCAAACCAGAUCUUCAGGAAUUUUACUGGGAUAAUUAUCCAAAUAAAUUGCAAGCAUUCUAUCCAAAUGGACAUCCAUAAAAAUUCAUCAGAGAGCAUUUUACUACUGAGCUGCAAAGGGAAAAACUUAAAAUGGAUAUGAAAAGUGAAGAAAGUGAUCAUAGGAGAAAACCAUUUCAGGUAAAAAUAAAAAACAAAGAGCAAAUAAGAUUUACUGUUUUUAAAGAAAAACAACAUUCUUUUGACUGUGUUUUGUUAUAAGAAUUAAUUUCAUAUUCUUUAUGAGUGUAACUGUUGAAAUUUUAUUGAUGGUUUUCAUUUGAAAAUGUGUGCUAUGACCUACCUUUGUGAAAAAUUUCUUGUGGUCAAUUGGGCAGUUUGUGUCCCAUUGAAUAUAUGUCUGUGUAUCCAUACGCUUAAGAUAGGUGCAAUACGGUUUACUAGAAAGCUUUAUAGGAAAA